rnacentral:tRNA from 1 species
GGGGAGUUGCUCGGCAGCUCGCUGGGCUCAUAACCCAGAGGUCGCAGGUUCAACCCUGUCCCCG